GAUGAACGCUGGCGGCGUGCCUAAUACAUGCAAGUCGAGCGAACAGACGAGGAGCUUGCUCCUCUGACGUUAGCGGCGGACGGGUGAGUAACACGUGGAUAACCUACCUAUAAGACUGGGAUAACUUCGGGAAACCGGAGCUAAUACCGGAUAACAUGGUGAACCGCAUGGUUCAACAGUGAAAGACGGUCUUGCUGUCACUUAUAGAUGGAUCCGCGCCGCAUUAGCUAGUUGGUAAGGUAACGGCUUACCAAGGCAACGAUGCGUAGCCGACCUGAGAGGGUGAUCGGCCACACUGGAACUGAGACACGGUCCAGACUCCUACGGGAGGCAGCAGUAGGGAAUCUUCCGCAAUGGGCGAAAGCCUGACGGAGCAACGCCGCGUGAGUGAAGAAGGUCUUCGGAUCGUAAAACUCUGUUAUUAGGGAAGAACAAAUGUGUAAGUAACUAUGCACGUCUUGACGGUACCUACUCAGAAAGCCACGGCUAACUACGUG
rnacentral:rRNA from 1 species